CGCCUCUUGCAUAAAUUACGAAUAAGAGGUCACGCCUGCCCUGUGACCAUGUGUUUAACGGCCGCGGUAUUUUGACCGUGCAAAGGUAGCGCAAUCACUUGUCUCUUAAAUAGAGACCUGUAUGAAUGGCACAACGAGGGCUCAACUGUCUCCCUCCUCCAGUCAAUGAAAUUGAUUUCCCCGUGCAGAAGCGGGGAUAAAGCCAUAAGACGAGAAGACCCCGUGGAGCUUUAGAUACAAGCUGGAGCCUACGUAAUAAUCCUUUACCCCGAAACAAACAAGUAACUGCAUCCGCUACCUAUCUUUGGUUGGGGCGACCGCGGAAGAACAAAUAACCUCCGUGAGGAUUGAGGCAACUCACAACAAAGAGCUACCGCUCUAAGUAACAAAAACUUUGACCUUAAGAUCCGGUAUACGACCGAUCAACGAACCGAGUUACCCCGGGGAUAACAGCGCAAUCCCCUUUAAGAGUCCCUAUCGACAAGGGGGUUUACGACCUCGAUGUUGGAUCAGGACAUCCUGAUGGUGUAGCCGCUAUCAAGGGUUCGUUU
rnacentral:rRNA from 1 species